CUGGCCUUCUGUAGUAUAUAUAAACUUAUAUUAGCUAUAAUUCUGUUUAUGACUAUUUAACUGAAUAAGAACAAUUACUGCCUAUAUAUUCAACUAUAAGACUAUUUUGUUUACUUUGUAUGUUCGUUAAAAUAGCUCAACCAAGCUGCUCUCGGUAUAAAUGAUUGUUUAUGUCUGUCCGUAUGUGAAAUUGGCUCUAAAAGUGGGUUGCAACCUGUCCUUAAGUUAUAUUUAUGUCCG